UACGAAGGGGGCUAGCGUUGCUCGGAAUCACUGGGCGUAAAGGGUGCGUAGGCGGGUCUUUAAGUCAGGGGUGAAAUCCUGGAGCUCAACUCCAGAGCUGCCUUUGAUACUGAGGAUCUUGAGUACGGGAGAGGUGAGUGGAACUGCGAGUGUAGAGGUGAAAUUCGUAGAUAUUCGCAAGAACACCAGUGGCGAAGGCGGCUCACUGGCCCGUUACUGACGCUGAGGCACGAAAGCGUGGGGAGCAAACAGG
rnacentral:rRNA from 1 species